UGGGGAAUAUUGGACAAUGGGGGCAACCCUGAUCCAGCAAUGCCGCGUGUGUGAAGAAGGUCUUCGGAUUGUAAAGCACUUUCGACGGGGACGAUGAUGACGGUACCCGUAGAAGAAGCCCCGGCUAACUUCGUGCCAGCAGCCGCGGUAAUACGAAGGGGGCUAGCGUUGCUCGGAAUGACUGGGCGUAAAGGGCGUGUAGGCGGUUUACACAGUCAGAUGUGAAAUCCCCGGCUUAACCUGGGAGCUGCAUUUGA
rnacentral:rRNA from 1 species